UACGUAGGGUGCAGGCGUUAAUCGGAAUUACUGGGCGUAAAGCGUGCGCAGGCGGUUUCUUAAGUCUGUCGUGAAAGCCCCGGGCUCAACCUGGGAAUGGCGAUGGAUACUGGCGGGCUAGAGUGCGGUAGAGGAGAGUGGAAUUCCCGGUGUAGCAGUGAAAUGCGUAGAGAUCGGGAGGAACAUCAGUUGCGAAGGCGGCUCUCUGGACCGAGACUGACGCUGAGGCGCGAAAGCGUGGGGAGCAAACAGG
rnacentral:rRNA from 1 species